rnacentral:rRNA from 1 species
GCAGCAGUAGGGAAUCUUCCGCAAUGGACGAAAGUCUGACGGAGCAACGCCGCGUGAGCGAAGAAGGCCUUCGGGUCGUAAAGCUCUGUUGUUAGGGAAGAACAAGUAACGUAGUAACUGGCGUUACGAUGACGGUACCUAACGAGAAAGCCACGGCUAACUACGUGCCAGCAGCCGCGGUAAUACGUAGGUGGCAAGCGUUGUCCGGAAUUAUUGGGCGUAAAGCGCGCGCAGGCGGUUCCUUAAGUCUGAUGU